UACGAAGGGGGCUAGCGUUGCUCGGAUUGACUGGGCGUAAAGGGCGCGUAGGCGGUUCGUACAGUCAGACGUGAAAUUCCUGGGCUCAACCUGGGGCUGCGUUUGAUACGUGCGGACUUGAGUGCGGAAGAGGGUCGUGGAAUUCCCAGUGUAGAGGUGAAAUUCGUAGAUAUUGGGAAGAACACCAGUGGCGAAGGCGACUAACUGGACAUGUAUUGACGCUGAGGUGCGAAAGCGUGGGGAGCAAACAGG
rnacentral:rRNA from 1 species